UACGUAGGGUGCAAGCGUUAAUCGGAAUUACUGGGCGUAAAGCGUGCGCAGGCGGCUUUGCAAGACAGAUGUGAAAUCCCCGGGCUCAACCUGGGAACUGCAUUUGUGACUGCAUGGCUGGAGUGCGGCAGAGGGGGAUGGAAUUCCGCGUGUAGCAGUGAAAUGCGUAGAUAUGCGGAGGAACACCGAUGGCGAAGGCAGCCCCCUGGGCUAACACUGACGCUCAGGCACGAAAGCGUGGGGAGCAAACAGG
rnacentral:rRNA from 1 species